AUUGAACGCUGGCGGCAGGCCUAACACAUGCAAGUCGAACGAGUGGCGGACGGGUGUGUAUAGUUUGGGAAACUGUUCGUUGGAGAGGGUUAACUAUUGGAUACGGUAUCUCAUACCGCAUACCACCGGAUGUGCCCAGAUGGGAUGUGCUAUUUGGUGGGGUAACGGCGCACCUAGGCGACGAUCCCUAGCUGGUCUGAGAGGAGGACCAGCAACACUGGAACUGAGGCACGGUACGGACUCCAAAGGGAGGCAGCAGUGGGGAAUAUUGCACAAUGGAGGCAAGACUGAUGCAGCCAUGCCGAGUGUAUGAGGAAGGCCUUCGGGUUGUAAAGUACUUUCAGCGAGAGGGAGGUAAUCGAAGAAGAAGCACCGGCUAACUCCGUGCCAGCCGCCGCGGUAAUUG
rnacentral:rRNA from 1 species